rnacentral:lncRNA from 1 species
UCCAAUAUAAUAUGUAUACAGGGAGCACAUUGUGAGUUUCCUUUCUCCAUCCCAUCCUGAGUGUGAACCAAUAUCCCGUACCCCACAGUGUAAUACCCACAGCCAACUCAGGGGCGGAUCCAGCUGCGGAUGGGGGAACAUGGCGAGUGCGGCAAGCCCACCCAGCUGGGUUGCAUUUUGAAGCCAUGUGUAUUUGAUACUAGGAGAUAUUUCUGAUGUCAAUAGCAAUUACUUUUUACUAUACAAAAAUGCCUGAGUACAAUACUGCAUUCAAGAAAAAGUAUUGUAAUUUUGUGAUGAAAAGGGGGUCCAGAGCCCCCCGCCUGCAUCCUGACAAGAAUCUCAUUAAAAUCAUAAUGAAAUCAUACACAAUCCCUGUGGGUCCCGGUCAAAUAGCCGAUGGUUAUUUGACCAGGAAUCCCGGUCAAAUAAACACUUUAAUAAAAUUACGUUUGAAAAAUAACUAAUGACCUUCAACACUUUGUUAGCUUCUAGAGUGGCAGAAGUUUCUCUCAGCUGAACACAAUACCUAGGUGCAACACUACUCCUUAAAGGGUUAAUGCUGGUCAUAGCUCCUGCUUUGACCCACCUUAACACUUGCAUUUUAACAUCUAAAGUGAUGCUUUUACUUAACACAUCUGUCACAUUUCCAGCACUAAAACUUAGGUGUUAUUGUAGUUUCAGCCCCAACUCAGUUAAGAGCAUUUUACUGAUAACUCAGUAACCACUCAUUUGCAAUGGAAAUGAAAGUCGAAUUUGUACGAAUCAGACCAAAUACCAUGGGAAAAACACAAAUUUAUGGCAGAACAGUAGUUGGGGCUAAAACUGCAAUUUUACCCAAACUUGCAGGUCUUUUCUCAUAUAUUAUUAGAUUAACAGGUAGAUAUUUAUUCAGUAAAAUUUCCACAUAAGUCAGCUGUAACAGUAAACAAACUUCUCGCUCGGCCUCCAGUACCACAGUUGCCUGUUAUAGUUAUUCAACAUCUACUACAUUAUGUUUACCAAUGAUCAGACGAAAAAUUGCAAAUUAAAUCAUUAUUUGUUCAGUACAGUACUUUUUUAAAUUCAUGAAUUAAUAUUAAUAUUUCAACAGCUGAGCACUUGUAUUACAAACACUUGUUACUCAGCAACUCUAGGUACUUGGAGUAUGAUAAGCAUCAGCAUGUGUUGUCUACUGUCUACACCUCUUUAUUGGAAACACGAGUUAAACAAUAACGCCCGUAUUAAUGAACAUCUUCCCUUGAAGAAUUUCAUGUCAAAAGCUGUAUUUUUAAAUGCGAAGAACCUUUUACUGCAGCGCACGAAUGAGUGUGGUGGCAUGAAAACGAACUAAUAGUACAUAACUUUCCGUUAUUGCCAAAUGCAAGCUGCGGGAGUCAUCUCAUCUUACUAACGCUAGUACUAAUCAGGUUGAAUUGGCCAGAGAAAACUUUUAGAAAAAUGAAUCGGCAAGAUUGGGUCUAGAAUUUUGGAAUAACUUGGGAGACCAAUAUAGACAAGAGGCACAGGCAAGGUUGGAGGAAGACCACAGACGACGGCACAGAAGACGACUCCGAAGAAUUGUAGCUGACCGCAUGAACCCAUUCACAGCAAUUAGCGAUGAUGAAUUUGUUGACCAGUUUAGGCUCAGAAAGGAAUUGGUUCGCAUAAUCAUCAAAGAAAGUCAGGAUCUGCCUCCUGUUGCCAAUUAUAAGAGGUUGUGCUGUUCCUCCAAACCUACAUGUCCUAUUAGCAAUACUUUGCAUGGUGACUGGAAGCCGCCAACUAUCAUUUGGAGACUGUUAUGAUGUGUCUCAAGCCUGUGUCAGUCUGUAUCUUCCAAGGGUUUCGAGAGCAAUAGCCAGCCUUAGUGAACAGUUUAUAAAAUUUCCUGCUGGCAAUGAUUUGCACAAAACAGUACAGGCCUUUUACAAUAUUGCAAGAAUGCUGGGAGUCAAUGGAUCCAUAGGUACUGUAUAGAGCUACAGUACCAGGUUUGGGCUGUUUGUAAUACUGUACUUGUAGUUACACUCAUGAUAUAAAGACAGGAGUUGAUUUUUUUAAUGUGUUGUCUUUUAAACUGACCUAUAUUUUAUAUAUUGAUGUUAUGGUCCAUAAGGAAAUACUGUAUACAGAGGUACCUGUAUAUACUGUAUAUUUAUACACAGUUAUUUAUUUUAUUAUGUCACAUAUGUACAGUAAUUUGAAAUAAUUGUAAAACAAUCACAUUUUCAAUAAACAUUCAACAAGCAUAUAUUUAAAAUUCAUACUUGUCAAAAAUGAUGGCAUUUUUUAUAUUUUAAGAUAACAAAAAUAUUUCUCUGUAA